GAAAUGAGGAUGAGAUGCUUCCGGCAUGGUGGUUGGAUCUCGCCACCCUGGAGGGUACAAUAAUAGGUGGAGGAUCUGACUCCCCCCACCGAUGACGGGACGUACUUCCUUCGGGGAGUGUUGUACCGUGGCCGGUGACGGCCCUUAGGACUCAACCACAGUUCCCGCCAAUUACUGUUGCGGCGGUCCGGUCAUUCAGUUCUAUGGUUUAAAUCCGUGUGCCUUAGGGCGGGUCGGAGAGUUAGAAGGUUGACUUAUUUAUGAAAUAAAGAAUUGAUUUUCCUCUCUAGCAUUGUGAAAAUCUAGACAAAGUGAAGCAUCGAUACCAAUUCCAAAAUAGUUGUUCAUCACAAAAAUGGCUGUGUUGUCUUGAGAACUCCCAGGAUUGCUUCCAGAUGUAUCCUCUUUUUCAUCCACAUGAAAGACCACUGUCCACCUAAAGAUAACAUGAAGAAAAAUCUUCAAUGACAUCUUUAAGGAUAUUCAGGGGUUCUUCCCCUCCAGUAUAUCCUGGUCCCCAUCUCAGCACCCGAGCAAGAUCAUUUCCAGUUCCUAAAGGUAGGAUAGCACAUGGAGGAGAUUGGCAUUCCGAAU